UACAGAGACCUCAAGCGUUGUCCGGAUUUAUUGGGCGUAAAGGGUCCGCAGGUGGUUGUAUAAGUCAGUUGUUAAAUCUCAGGGCUUAACUCUGAGACCGCGAUUGAUACUGUACAACUAGAGGCUGGGAGAGGUGAGCAGAAUUGCUGGUGUAGUCGUAAUAAGCGUUGAUAUCAGCAGGAAUACCAAAGGCGAAGGCAGCUCACUGGAACAUGCCUGACACUCAUGGACGAAAGCGUGGGGAGCGAAGGGG
rnacentral:misc_RNA from 1 species